rnacentral:rRNA from 1 species
UUUCUUCUUAGGGGUGAUGACGAGUAGAGUUGGGAAGGUUUAACGAGGGGUUUAACUUGGGAUUCUUUUAACUUAGAGUGGGGCUCCGGGGGAAGGGGAAGGAGCCACGGCGGCGGCGGAUCGGUGGACUGUACUCGCGGGAUCGUUAGAGGGGUAGGUGGCCGCUCGUGGGAACCGGCGAAGGAGGAGCUGGAGACGGUGUAGCUCACAGCCGAAGGAAGGGGCUGGGUUCAGUGGCGAGGGUCUGUUGGAGGCGGCGCGGGGGUUGUGACGGAGGGCUGUGAAAGAGAGGCUCGUCGUGGCGCCGGUCGAGGGGGCGGUAGCAGAUGAACGAGCGAAGGAGUUCGUCGCGGCUGAGUAGGUCCUCGAGGAGGGCAGUCGUCGUGGAGGAGGAGAUCCUCAGAGGUGAUGCUUGGUCAGGAGGUGGUUUAACGCACGUAGAAGAAACAGGAGAGGUGGUUCGUCACAGCUGACGCGGUAGAGGGGGGUCUGUUUAAACUACUAAGAAGUGAAAGACCUUUCAUUUGAAUUAUGGUCUCCAACUUUUACAAGGACGUUCUGACCAAUUCUGUGGAACGACAUUGGUAUACAGAACUCGAGUGUGUCUUCUGGACUGUUCGAAAUGAGAAACACAAACAAUGUAAAACAUGACGAGCCUACAGAUCCUUGACGUUUACGAGUUAAUACUCCUUCAGAAGUCCACAUGAGUUA